UGGAAAACAUACAUGGAAAAUAGAGAAAUUUUCUCAACUUACCAAACGAGAACUUCGAAGUAAUGCUUUUGAGGUUGGAGGCUAUAAAUGGUUGGAGCCAUUUUGCACAGUUUACAAUAGCAGUGGUGAAUAAGGAUCCAAAGAAAUCAAAAUAUUCUGAUACAUUACAUCGGUUCUGAAAGAAAGAACAUGACUGGGGAUGGAAAAAAUUCAUGGAGCUCUCAAAAGUGUUAGAUGGUUUUAUUGACGCUGACACUCUCAUAAAGGCACAAGUUCAAGUGAUUAGAUGGCUUCAGUGAUUGCUGCAAAUCUUUUAACAAGCAUAAAACUCAUAGAUUUGUUAUGCGUUGUAGUGACGUGGGUGUUUUCUAUUAUAAAACUUUAUGCUAGAUUUGCAAGACAUCACAAAAGCAAGAAAGAUACCGAAGCGUGCUUUGCCUAUUAUUUGCUUCAGAGAAGUCAGCCCCCCAUUGUCGGAUGCUUCAAACACUUCCAUUAUAGAUUCAGAUAAUUGAAGUGAUAUCGGGUUGAAAGCUAAGCGAUUGUGUAGAAAUGGUCAAGCGACCGUUGAAAAUUGAAGACUGAGAAGGCAUUUAGGAUUUUUAAUUAUUUAAUUCUUGUAUUAGAAUCUUUUUUCAUGUACUAUUGUAGAAUGUAUAUAUAAACAUAAUAUUAAUAUUUUA